rnacentral:lncRNA from 1 species
UAUGUUUCAGUCUCUUUCAACCUUUCGCUGUGAUUAGAGGCUAAGAAUGUGUACUCAAGGGAAAUAUUUGAAGAUUAGUGUGAAGAAGUCAGAGCCACCUUUAUCUUGUUUUUUUUUUUUAUAUUUGUGUGAGUGUUUUAUUCAGGUUUCAAUUCUUAAACAUCCUCUGUACCAAAAUAUGGUUGUACGGUAUAAGGUGUACGGUAUAAGGUUUUCUACUAAACAGGAAAGGGAGAUGCACAAGAAAGAAUUAUAAAGGCAUCAAAUUACUGCACGAGCUAUAAAGGUCAUAGUAUAUUUCGUCUGGAAUAUAGUUAGCCUCGAUGAAAUUCAGUUCGGUUUCAUUCCCGGAAGAUAUGUCACAGAUGCAAUCUUUCUGGUGAGACAGCUGCAGGAGAAAGACUUAGCCAAGAGUAAACUACCAAACCUGACCUUUAUGACCUGGAGAAGGCCUUUGACAGGGUGAUACACUCUGGAAACUACUACAAUGCUGGCAACAAAGAUCAUUUCUCUUAGAGUGAAGGGCGUAUUAUAUGACGCCUCAUCCAAAUAUUUGAAGACUAGUGUGAAAUCAGUCAUCUUCACCUUAUUUUUAAUAUUUGUAGGAAUGUUUUAUACAGUUUUGAGUUCUUAAACAUCUUCCGAAACAUGCUGGUUGCCAUAACAUAGUUACUAAAUGUACGGUAGUGUCACUGUAUCCGUAUAAGCUUCUAACCAGGCAAUUUCAGGACAGAAAACUUUCCGUAUGUCCAAACAGUAUAUUUUAUAGUAUACAAUUCUUUGACUGUAAAGAGAAUGUGGCAUUAAAUAACAAUGGAAAUUAUGAAAACGAAAUAAGUUUCUCGAUAUAGUCAUACAUAUAUCAAGAGAGUAUGUGGCUCAGCAAAAAGAGGAAUAGAAUAUUGGAGCCGAUUUAAUCGAAUAAACCCUUCAAGGUGAUAUUCCAAAGUGUCGAUAAACAAGAGUCAAGGAUGAAAUUCAAAAAGGAAUGCGGUUUCUAUCUUCUGAAUUCAGUGUUCAACCCAGAGAACUAUACGUUCCUCUCAGCCUAAAAUAGUUGCAGAUAAGUGAAUUCAAUCUCACAGAAGAAUGACAAUGGCAAUGAAAGGAGUCCAGUGUCCUCACAAGUAGAAAUUGUUUGCUGCCAUGAAAACAGUAUCGUAACAAGACAAGAGGACUGUGAAAAUUUAAUGAAAGCAAACAAACAAAA